rnacentral:tRNA from 3 species
GCCGAAGUGGUGGAAUUGGUAGACGCACCGGACUCAAAAUCCGGCGGGAGCAAUCCCAUGGGGGUUCGAUUCCCCCCUUCGGCACCA